rnacentral:rRNA from 1 species
ACGUUAGCGGCGGACGGGUGAGUAACACGUGGGUAACCUACCUAUAAGACUGGGAUAACUCCGGGAAACCGGGGCUAAUACCGGAUAACACAUGAAACCGCAUGGUUUCAUGAUGAAAGACGGUUUUGCUGUCACUUAUAGAUGGACCCGCGGCGUAUUAGCUAGUUGGUAAGGUAACGGCUUACCAAGGCAACGAUACGUAGCCGGCCUGAGAGGGUGAUCGGCCACACUGGAACUGAGACACGGUCCAG